rfam:Paenibacillus sp. LPB0068 PNBC_35, whole genome shotgun sequence.
GACUUCCAACACAACAAAAGCCCUACCUCUCUUUUGUCCUUACGGCUCCAGUGACCGCGCCAGUGUGAAUCAGAUACGUCUUAAAAAC